CGGGUACUGGUGCGAGUGGAGCGGAGGACCGUGAUUCAGAUGGUGGGCAGGCUGCAUAGAUCUGGCCGCAUGAGGGUCCCCAUACAUGGUGGUUGGGAUCCCUACUCCAUCCAUCCCACCAUAGUGAGGUGCACAGUGUGCGAUGAGAGAUAAAAUACACACGAUGGGGAUUCUUGGCAAUUUUUUUACGAAUUCUAGAAUCACAACAACCAUACUUUUUAUAUUGCAAAUCUUUAAAGUCUAAACCAGGCUACAGCAACAAAGUUUAUGUAAAUCACAUUUAAUAUUCGUCUAUAGAUUCUCAUAAAGGUCGAUUUGAUAUGCAGUUAAAUACAUGAGUACUGCCUGCUUUUAGUGUACAGUUUCCAUGAUAAUUAGAAACGUUUCCACAUACUAGUGAGUAUGGGUGUAAUUUUAUUAGCAUUAGAACGUUUGAAUUCAUUGCUACUUUUAAAUAGACAAGUGCGCUUGCUGCCUGCCGUCCAUUUUGGAACCCGUAGAAAAGUAAAUUAAAUCAAUCACACUCAUUGAUGAAUACAUUUUUAAAAAAUUUAUUUUUAAAACUAAUGUCACGAAAACAAAACAUUUGAACUUUCUGAAUCAGGAAGAUAGUGUGUUUAUGGAAACAGUUUAGAGAUUUAAAAACCACCUUUUGUUGACUUGAAACACAAGAUAACUAUUUGGAAAACAUUUUGAGCUACCUGUCAUUUAAUAAAACAUACAAAAGGAAAAACUACACAGAACCUUCUGUUGUAUUCAGACCAGCAGCCUCAAUAUCAGUAAAUUAUAUAGGCUACUGAAUGCAGUCUUCCUAAUUUUAAUUAAUAAAGUGUCUGUUUCAAUUAAUACAUGCUUUGUUUUUUCUCUUGAAUAAUAAUGACAAGUUAACUGGUUACAUUUUUUGAGCCUAUAUAUAGCCCCAAAUUCAUAUUGCUUCUCUCUUGCUGUCAAAUGUGGCCUGAAUGUUUGGGGUUUUGGGGGUGUCUUAUAAGGAAAAAUCAACAAACUGACGUCAUUGUAGAGUGAGAGAAGGACUGCAUUGUCUUGAAAGUGUUCAAUACCUUAUUAAAGGAAUGAAAUGAACCCACCUCAUAAUACACUGUGGCAAAAGCUAUUUUCUAUUUGUGAAGCAGGCUAGUGCUCAAUUUUCACAUUAGUGUCUGAAGUUAUUGGAUAAUGUCUGUCAUGUGUGAGUGUUGUUUCUUCCAGGAUGAUUGCUUAUAUAGGACUUUUCAUAUAUGUGCAACUCACAAGACACCCGACAUUAACAAUCCCUUUCUCAGAACUGAAAAAAAGGAAUCUGAAACAAGAGAGCAUUUGUCACCGAGGCUAUUAUUUCAGGUGUGCUAAUGGGAUUAGAACUGUGUGAAAAAUCAGAGGAUUCGUGCGCUUCCAUUUUCCAGAUACUACCCACAUUUGCUGUCUGCAGCACACUGAUGUACCCCAGAGGUGAAAAGUGAAGGCAACUACUCAGCUGCACUGGUACCAAAUUGAGAGGCUAUGUCACAUGCAGGCCAAUCAUAAAGUGCAGGAACAAGUCUCACACCUCCCUGGGAGACUGUUAAUUGAUCGGCACCUGAGAAGAAGAGGGAGAGGGAGAAGGGGGCUAGUGUGCGUGGGUGUGAAGAAAUGUAUUUCCUGCAAGGACACAGGGAGGAUCCAAUCAUCUUGGUAAGAUCUGAGUAAAUGGUGUAUGAUGAAUAAAGAAAACAAUAAAAAACACACAAAUUACAAUUAGUUUCAUUUUAAUUAAUAUCACUGUUGCUUAUAUAGAUUGGAAAGGUAUACAAAGCCAAGGCCUUAAAGCAUUUUCUUACUCAUUAGCAUAGCAUCAUUAUGACAAGGCUUUAAUUGUUUUGAUUUUGGCAAAGACACAGUGCUUCAAGCCUGAUAGAAGUAAAUCUCUCUCUCUCUCUCUCUCUCUCUCUCUCUCUCUCUCUCUCUCUCUCUCUCUCUCUCUCUCCAUUAAGUUCUGGGCUACAUUUUAUAGAACACAUUUUGAAAAAAGUAAUAGCCGGAAACCAAACUUUUCUUCUGUAAACUAAUCUCCUCCUACUUCUACUGCCGCUGCUGCACUGUGCUCACCUCAACCUCCAAACAGAAAAUGGCUCCCCUCUGGUAUUGCAGCAGAUUACAGCCAGUUUAUACUAUAUAUCUGCCCAUUGGUAACAUGACUUAUGUGGACAAAAAAUAACCACUGUUUAAAACAUCCAAAUACAUAUAUCAAAAUGCAAUCUGGAUUAUCUGCUAGCAGUAUUUGUCUGGAUUUAUAAACAGCAAUAACAUUGGUAUAUUUUCAUUUGUUUAAGGAAUAUUUCUUAAGUAGAUUUCCCUUCAUUCAACCAGGGUAUUUAUCUACCCAUAUACAGUAGAACCUCAAUGUUAGAGACACAUCAGGACUGGAGAUUGUUCAUAAGUCUGAAAUGUCGGUAACUCUUAAACUUGCACUAUUACCAAUGAUGUGUAUUGAAUUCAUACAAGGUCUGGAGAGCUGUGUUAAACUAGUCAAAUUCCCAGCAUCUGACAUGUCAUAUACUGUAGCUAGGAGCCCUGUUUGUGGUUUCAAGUGAUGCGUUGGUUGAAUGACCAGUUCAUAAAUAUGAGGUUCUACUGUACUUAGACACUGUACUAUCCUUACAUGAGGGUAUGUGUAAUGCAGAAUUAGUUUUACAACCAGGGACAGUCACCUGGUCACCACGUCUCAUUUACAAAGGUGUCCAGAGGAAUAUAGAUGAGACAGUCGUGCCACAUUCACACGUUGCUUAGAUUGGUUACCUGCCCUUAAAAGUCCCCCAGAACAAAUCCCCUGAACAAAUGUUCUUGAAACUGAACAAAUGUCUUUCCAACUGGGUUUUUAACCACGUCUGGAGAUGUUUUGUGUAUCUAGGUGGAAAGUUGAUUCUGUUUCUACCAGGUGCAAAGGAAGCCACUCCCCUUUAAAAGAUGACAUCUGGUUUGGAGAAUUAUUACUUGCAUCUGUCCUUUUGUUUUUCUAAUUAAACUGUAAACCCCAGCACAGAAAGCAUUCAUUUUUAGUCAUUUCUUAAGAGUGAUUUAUUUAGUGAAAGGUUUCCCGCAUUAGUUAAAAGUAAUCUUGUAAAUCACUGGUGUCAUUGAAGAAUUUCAUCACUCCCAUUAAUUUAAAAGAUUAUCAGAGGCAUAAGUGACUUAAUUUUAAACAAUGCUACAUGGUUAACUUAUUAAUGUAAAAAAGCAGGCAAGACAUUUGAACAGUUUGAUUUAUUUUUUAUAAUUGCAUCAUUUUUGACUUUCAAGAAUGGAAUAUGUGGCUCAAUGCUUUUCCACAAUUUAACAAAAUGAUACUCUCCGCUGUGUUGUUGACUGAGAUAAGGUUGAGCAAGAUGAAUAUGUAAGAAACAUCUUGUUACAAAAUAUUUCAGAAAAACAAUUGCGCAUCCUCCAAGAUGCUUCAUUCAAAGGCACUACCUCAUAGUACAUGAACCUUCGGCUCAGGGUGUUACCUGCAGAAUCAGUCAACUACUCGACAAUAGAAACCUCUGAACUUUCAUCAGCCAAUCAGAAGGAAUGCAUUUCAGGUCAACAGGAAGAAUGCCUGAUUAUUUCAAGUUUUACUGUUGUGGAUAUGAGCCUGCUAAAUCCUAAAUAUUUUUUAAUAUUUGCAGUAGUCUAUAAAAAGUAACAUACACUUAUGCACACUACAGCAUUGACUGCACAGGAAGAAAAUACACUUUGCACACUAUAGCAGUGACAAUAGAUACACCCAGUACUUUACUGACCAACUGUGCAUACAUUACACAACAUUUGUGUAUUAUCUGACACUGCACCAGUUCAUUCAAAGUCAUGGCUUACACAACGAUGAUGUUUAAUAUUGUGUUUUCUCAUGAAAACUUUGUUAAGUUGUGUAACAACCUGUAUUUUAUUACAGGCGUGUAAGAGCCACUACUUCAUUAAGUGAGCCACAAAGUGCAAAUCUAGUUGCACAACAUUCCUAUUUGUAUCACUACAGCAAAACGAUCUGUCUUAGUAACUGUUUAUCUUUCCUAACCUUUUUUUUUAAUUGAUUAACAGUUGUCAUUUAACUAUCAGAAAAUAGAUUGAUACUCCCUAGGAGGCUGCUUCUCACUCAAAUGGUUUACACGAAUCCAACCAUGUCUGUGUUCCUCAUGUGACCAAGUUUGAACUUGCAGUUGAGUGAAAAGUAAAAAGAAGUAAAGUAAUAUCUCUGGCAAAUAAUGUUAAUAAAAUGUGUUCACUGACAUCCAGCAUUUUAUUCCCUUGGCGGUCUUUGUUUGUACAUUGUAUAUUGAGUUCUUUCACCUGAUACUAAUCUUUUUUUAAUGCAUGCAGUAUGUUUUUAAAUAUGCUUUUAAAUUAUUUCAGCCAAUUAAAUGAAUUAUGCUUCUUUAAUUACUAACAUACACUUACAGCCA